rnacentral:rRNA from 1 species
UACAGAGGGUGCGAGCGUUGUCCGGAAUCACUGGGCGUAAAGGGCGCGUAGGCGGCUUGAUAAGGUUGCGGUGAAAGCCCGGGGCUCAACCCCGGGUCGGCCGUGGCAACUGUCGAGCUGGAGCACUGUAGAGGCAGGUGGAAUUCCGGGUGUAGCGGUGGAAUGCGUAGAGAUCCGGAAGAACACCGGUGGCGAAGGCGGCUCUCUGGGACGGUACUGACGCUGAGACGCGAAAGCGUGGGGAGCGAACAGG